AGUCGUGCUCAGCCAGCAACACACUCCUAGGUUACCUGCUGCCUAGGUGCACUACUGCAAUAACUAUAGUACUCACUACCAGCAAGUGAGCCAACAUACGAGGACACGAGUUUGGUGUUACCAUUCCAAGAGACUGUGAAGAAGAUGAAGAAAACAGGAGUGUAAGAGAAGAACAAACAUGCACCUUGGUGAAUUAUAAAAACGAAAAGACUGAAGCCUGGAGAGCUGUAUAUUAAAUGUUUAUGACUUUGACUAAGGCUAUCAAACAUUUUUCUUUAGUGAUAAGAAAGCACUCGGCGGAUUUUAAUGAGGUGGCGCCACCAAUACUACAACAGACUACUAACAACAUAACCACAAUUUAAACUUUGAUUGGGAUAAAAUUAUAAACAAAAAUAUUAUGUUCAAGACUCAUGUAAGUCUAAUACUUACACUGAGCUGAGUGUUGAAUGUGAAAUGUAAAAGUAGAAAGGAAAAGCGUAUCGUGCGUCUGGAAUACUAAAGUGACUAGACUUCCUAGAAUCCAGACAAAGCUAUAAAUAAAUGUCUCAAUCACAACACAAA